rnacentral:rRNA from 1 species
UUCGUAGGCGGUGCGGCAAGUUGGGAGUGAAAUCUCUGGGCUUAACUCAGAGGCUGCUUUCAAAACUGCCGUGCUCGAGUGCGAGAGGGGCCAGUGGAAUUGCAGGUGUAGCGGUGAAAUGCGUAGAUAUCUGCAGGAACACCCGUGGCGAAGGCGGCUGGCUGGAUCGCAACUGACGCUGAGGAACGAAAGCUAGGGGAGCAAACAGGAUUAGAUACCCUGGUAGCCCUAGCCCUAAACCAUCAGGACUUGGGGUGGCCCGCGUAGGCGGGUCGUCUCGUAGCUAACGCGUUAAGUCCUGCGCCUGGGGAGUACGGUCGCAAGACUGAA